AGCAGCCGCGGUAAUUCCAGCUCCAAUAGCGUAUAUUAAAGUUGUUUGCAGUUAAAAAGCUCGUAGUUGAAUUUCGGGAUCAAUAUAUUGGUCAUGCUUAGGUAUGUACUGGUAUUAUUGAUUUCUCCCUCCUGAAGAACCGUAAUGUCAUUAAUUUGAUGUCAUGGGGAAUCAGGACUGUUACUUUGAAAAAAUUAGAGUGUUUAAAGCAGGCUUUCGCUUGAAUACAUUAGCAUGGAAUAAUGAAAUAGGACGUUUGAUUCUAUUUUGUUGGUUUCUAGGAUCGACGUAAUGAUUAAUAGGGAUAGUUGGGGGCAUUAGUAUUCAAUUGUCAGAGGUGAAAUUCUUGGACUUAUUGAAGACUAACUACUGCGAAAGCAUUUGCCAAGGAUGUUUUCAUUAAUCAAGGACGAAAGUUAGGGGAUCGAAGACGA
rnacentral:rRNA from 1 species